rnacentral:rRNA from 1 species
GUGGGGAAUAUUGGGCAAUGGGGGUAACCCUGACCCAGCAACGCCGCGUGAGGGAAGAAGGUUUUCGGAUUGUAAACCUCUGUCCUAUGGGAAGAAGGAAGUGACGGUACCAUAGGAGGAAGCCCCGGCUAACUACGUGCCAGCAGCCGCGGUAAUACGUAGGGGGCGAGCGUUGUCCGGAAUUACUGGGCGUAAUGGGUGCGCAGGUGGCCUGAAAAGUCAGAUGUGAAAUACCGAUGCUUAAGGUCGGGGCUGCAUUUGAAACUAUGAGGCUGGAGUGCAGGGGAGGGAAGCGGAAUUCCUAGUGUAGCGGUGAAAUGCAUAGAUAUUAGGAGGAACACCAGUGGCGAAGGCGGCUUUCUGGACUGUAACUGACACUGAGGCACGAAAGCGUGGGGAGCAAACAGGAUUAGAAGCCCUAGUAGUCC